rnacentral:rRNA from 1 species
UACGUAGGGGGCAAGCGUUGUCCGGAUUUAUUGGGCGUAAAGAGCGUGUAGGCGGCCAGGUAGGUCCGCUGUGAAAACUCGAGGCUCAACCUCGAGAUGUCGGCUGAAACCAUCUGGCUAGAGUCCGGAAGAGGAGAAUGGAAUUCCCGGUGUAGCGGUGAAAUGCGCAGAUAUCGGGAAGAACACCCGUGGCGAAGGCGGUUCUCUGGGACGGUACUGACGCUGAGACGCGAAAGCGUGGGGAGCGAACAGG